rnacentral:rRNA from 1 species
AAGACCUUGCGCUUUUGGAGCGGCCGAUGCCUGAUUAGCUUGUUGGUAAGGUAAAAGCUUACCAAGGCUUCGAUCAGUAGCUGGUCUGAGAGGACGGCUAGCCACACUGGGACUGAGACACGGCCCAGACUCCUACGGGAGGCAGCAGUGGGGAAUUUUGGACAAUGGGGGCAACCCUGAUCCAGCCAUGCCGCGUGAGUGAAGAAGGCCUUCGGGUUGUAAAGCUCUUUCAGCCGGAACGAAACGGUUACGGUUAAUACCCGUGAUUACUGACGGUACCGGAAGAAGAAGCACCGGCUAACUACGUGCCAGCAGCCGCGGUAAUACGUAGGGUGCGAGCGUUAAUCGGAAUUACUGGGCGUAAAGCGUGCGCAGGUGGUUUUGUAAGUCAGAUGUGAAAGCCCCGGGCUCAACCUGGGAACU